GUGCUUGCUUUGGCAGCACAUAUACUAAAAUUGGAAAGAUAGAAGACUAGCAUGUCUUCUGUGCAAGGAUGGCUUGUAGUCUUGUGAAGUGUUUCAUAUUUUU